rfam:Gossypium hirsutum cultivar TM-1 chromosome 10, whole genome shotgun sequence
UGUUAAAAAAUUCAUGCAUUUCUACUGUUAAAAACUGGCGUGGCAGACAGAAUAACUAGACACGCCGCAUGUACCUCAUGUUGACGUACAAGGAAUAGUUUUUAACAAUAGAAAUAGAUGAAAUUUUUAACA